AGGAAAUGGAACCAUGAAUCAGACGAAUCUUCUGAAGAGUCAGAAACCGAAGUUGAGAAUGAUUUCAGUUUUUCUUUUAAGAAGACCUGUGCCGUUUGCGAGCCUUUAUUCCUAAAAUCAAUACUCACAUUAGGAAAAAAUUUCAAAGAGAUACUCAAUCGGCACAAAUCUGAAAUUAGGGCUGAAAUGGAGAAACUAUUUGACGAUAUAAAGGACAUAGGUUGGUGUGGAAGUUGUGAACCAUCAUUAAAUUAUGAAAGGGUUAAAAUUUUAAAAAAUUAUAAUAAUUUAGUGGAAGGGAUUUUUAUAAAACUUUUACAUCAAACAAAAAAGGUUUGUAAACCUAGAAACUUGUACAAUGAUUAUAAAAUGCAAACAUUUAAAAGAAAGCGAAAGUGACAAA